rnacentral:rRNA from 1 species
CCUGCCGUUGCCGGCGACCGGCGCACGGGUGAGUAACACGUAUGCAACCUGCCCGUGGCAGGGGGAUAAGCGGGGGAAACCCCGUCUAAUACCGCGUAACGCGGCCUUGGGGCAUCCCAAGGCCGCCAAAGGGAGCAAUCCCGGCCACGGAUGGGCAUGCGGCGCAUUAGCUAGUCGGCGGGGUAACGGCCCACCGAGGCGACGAAGCGUAGGGGUUCUGAGAGGAAGGCCCCCCACACUGGUACUGAGACACGGACCAGACUCCUACGGAAGGCAGCAG